GAUGAACGCUAGCGGCAGGCUUAAUACAUGCAAGUCGAGGGGCAACAGGGGUAGCAAUACCUGCUGGCGACCGGCAAACGGGUGCGCAACACGUACAGAACCUUCCUUUAAGCGGGGGAUAGCCCAUAGAAAUGUGGAUUAAUACCCCAUGGUAUUAUUUAAUGGCAUCAUUAGAUAAUUAAAGAUUUAUCACUUAAAGAUGGCUGUGCGUCUGAUUAGGUAGUUGGNGCAGGUAACGGCUCACCAAGCCAACGAUCAGUAACUGGUGUGAGAGCACGACCAGUCACACGGGCACUGAGACACGGGCCCGACUCCUACGGGAGGCAGCAGUAAGGAAUAUUGGUCAAUGGACGCAAGUCUGAACCAGCCAUGCCGCGUGAA
rnacentral:rRNA from 1 species